AACGAACGCUGGCGGCAUGCCUAACACAUGCAAGUCGAACGAGACCUUCGGGUCUAGUGGCGCACGGGUGCGUAACGCGUGGGAACCUGCCCUUAGGUUCGGAAUAACUCCCCGAAAGGGGUGCUAAUACCGGAUAAUGUCUUCGGACCAAAGAUUUAUCGCCUUUGGAUGGGCCCGCGUUGGAUUAGCUAGUUGGUAGGGUAAAAGCCUACCAAGGCGACGAUCCAUAGCUGGUCUGAGAGGAUGAUCAGCCACACUGGGACUGAGACACGGCCCAGACCCCUACGGGGGGCAGGAGGGGGGAAUAUGGGACAAGGGGCGAAAGCCUGAUCCAGCAAUGCCGGGGGAGUGAUGAAGGCUUUGGGGUUGUAAAGCUUUUUUACCCGGGAUGAUAAUGACAGUACCGGGAGAAUAAGCCCCGGCAAACUCCGG
rnacentral:rRNA from 1 species